UACGUAGGGUGCGAGCGUUGUCCGGAAUUAUUGGGCGUAAAGGGCUCGUAGGCGGUUUGUCGCGUCGGGAGUGAAAUCCACUGGCUUAACUGGUGGCUUGCUUUCGAUACGGGCAGACUGGAGGUAUGCAGGGGAGAACGGAAUUCCUGGUGUAGCGGUGAAAUGCGCAGAUAUCAGGAGGAACACCGGUGGCGAAGGCGGCAUCCUGGACCGAUAUUGACGCUGAGGCGCGAAAGCCAGGGGAGCAAACGGG
rnacentral:rRNA from 1 species